rnacentral:rRNA from 1 species
GGGUGAGUAAUGCCUAGGAAAUUGCCCUGAUGUGGGGGAUAACCAUUGGAAACGAUGGCUAAUACCGCAUGAUGCCUACGGGCCAAAGAGGGGGACCUUCGGGCCUCUCGCGUCAGGAUAUGCCUAGGUGGGAUUAGCUAGUUGGUGAGGUAAGGGCUCACCAAGGCGACGAUCCCUAGCUGGUCUGAGAGGAUGAUCAGCCACACUGGAACUGAGACACGGUCCAGACUCCUACGGGAGGCAGCAGUGGGGAAUAUUGCACAAUGGGCGCAAGCCUGAUGCAGCCAUGCCGCGUGUAUGAAGAAGGCCUUCGGGUUGUAAAGUACUUUCAGUCGUGAGGAAGGUGGUGUCGUUAAUAGCGGCAUCAUUUGACGUUAGCGACAGAAGAAGCACCGGCUAACUCCGUGCCAGCAGCCGCGGUAAUACGGAGGGUGCGAGCGUUAAUCGGAAUUACUGGGCGUAAAGCGCAUGCAGGUGGUUUGUUAAGUCAGAUGUGAAAGCCCGGGGCUCAACCUCGGAAUAGCAUUUGAAACUGGCAGACUAGAGUACUGUAGAGGGGG